rnacentral:rRNA from 1 species
CCGGCACGGGUGAGUAACACGUAUCCAACCUGCCGUCUACUCUUGGCCAGCCUUCUGAAAGGAAGAUUAAUCCAGGAUGGCAUCAUGAGUUCACAUGUCCGCAUGAUUAAAGGUAUUUUCCGGUAGACGAUGGGGAUGCGUCCAUUAGAUAGUAGGCGGGGUAACGGCCCACCUAGUCAACGAUGGAUAGGGGUUCUGAGAGGAAGGUCCCCCACAUUGGAACUGAGACACGGUCCAA